GGUUAAGCGACUAAGCGUACACGGUGGAUGCCCUGGCAGUCAGAGGCGAUGAAGGACGUGCUAAUCUGCGAAAAGCGUCGGUAAGGUGAUAUGAACCGUUAUAACCGGCGAUGUCCGAAUGGGGAAACCCAGUGCAAUUCGUUGCACUAUCGUUAACUGAAUACAUAGGUUAACGAGGCGAACCGGGGGAACUGAAACAUCUAAGUACCCCGAGGAAAAGAAAUCAACCGAGAUUCCCCCAGUAGCGGCGAGCGAACGGGGAGCAGCCCAGAGUCUGAAUCAGCUUGUGUGUUAGUGGAACGGUCUGGAAAGUCCGACGGUACAGGGUGAUAGUCCCGUACACCAAAAUGCACAGGCUGUGAACUCGAAGAGUAGGGCGGGACACGUGGUAUCCUGUCUGAAUAUGGGGGGACCAUCCUCCAAGGCUAAAUACUCCUGACUGACCGAUAGUGAACCAGUACCGUGAGGGAAAGGCGAAAAGAACCCCGGCGAGGGGAGUGAAAAAGAACCUGAAACCGUGUACGUACAAGCAGUGGGAGCACCUUCGGGUGUGACUGCGUACCUUUUGUAUAAUGGGUCAGCGACUUAUAUUCUGUAGCAAGGUUAACCGUAUAGGGGAGCCGCAGGGAAACCGAGUCUUAACUGGGCGUUAAGUUGCAGGGUAUAGACCCGAAACCCGGUGAUCUAGCCAUGGGCAGGUUGAAGGUUGGGUAACACUAACUGGAGGACCGAACCGACUAAUGUUGAAAAAUUAGCGGAUGACUUGUGGCUGGGGGUGAAAGGCCAAUCAAACCGGGAGAUAGCUGGUUCUCCCCGAAAGCUAUUUAGGUAGCGCCUCGUGAAUUCAUCUUCGGGGGUAGAGCACUGUUUCGGCUAGGGGGUCAUCCCGACUUACCAACCCGAUGCAAACUACGAAUACCGAAGAAUGUUAUCACGGGAGACACACGGCGGGUGCUAACGUCCGUCGUGAAGAGGGAAACAACCCAGACCGCCAGCUAAGGUCCCAAAGUCAUGGUUAAGUGGGAAACGAUGUGGGAAGGCACAGACAGCCAGGAUGUUGGCUUAGAAGCAGCCAUCAUUUAAAGAAAGCGUAAUAGCUCACUGGUCGAGUCGGCCUGCGCGGAAGAUGUAACGGGGCUAAACCAUGCACCGAAGCUGCGGCAGCGACACUAUGUGUUGUUGGGUAGGGGAGCGUUCUGUAAGCCUGCGAAGGUGUGCUGUGAGGCAUGCUGGAGGUAUCAGAAGUGCGAAUGCUGACAUAAGUAACGAUAAAGCGGGUGAAAAGCCCGCUCGCCGGAAGACCAAGGGUUCCUGUCCAACGUUAAUCGGGGCAGGGUGAGUCGACCCCUAAGGCGAGGCCGAAAGGCGUAGUCGAUGGGAAACAGGUUAAUAUUCCUGUACUUGGUGUUACUGCGAAGGGGGGACGGAGAAGGCUAUGUUAGCCGGGCGACGGUUGUCCCGGUUUAAGCAUGUAGGCUGAUUGUCCAGGCAAAUCCGGAUAAUCAAGGCUGAGGUGUGAUGACGAGGCACUACGGUGCUGAAGUAACAAAUGCCCUGCUUCCAGGAAAAGCCUCUAAGCAUCAGGUAACAUUAAAUCGUACCCCAAACCGACACAGGUGGUCAGGUAGAGAAUACCAAGGCGCUUGAGAGAACUCGGGUGAAGGAACUAGGCAAAAUGGUGCCGUAACUUCGGGAGAAGGCACGCUGGUGUGUAGGUGAAGCCCCUGCGGGUGGAGCUGAGACCAGUCGAAGAUACCAGCUGGCUGCAACUGUUUAUUAAAAACACAGCACUGUGCAAACACGAAAGUGGACGUAUACGGUGUGACGCCUGCCCGGUGCCGGAAGGUUAAUUGAUGGGGUUAUCCGUAAGGAGAAGCUCUUGAUCGAAGCCCCGGUAAACGGCGGCCGUAACUAUAACGGUCCUAAGGUAGCGAAAUUCCUUGUCGGGUAAGUUCCGACCUGCACGAAUGGCGUAAUGAUGGCCAGGCUGUCUCCACCCGAGACUCAGUGAAAUUGAACUCGCUGUGAAGAUGCAGUGUACCCGCGGCAAGACGGAAAGACCCCGUGAACCUUUACUAUAGCUUGACACUGAACAUUGAGCCUUGAUGUGUAGGAUAGGUGGGAGGCUUUGAAGCGUGGACGCCAGUCUGCGUGGAGCCAACCUUGAAAUACCACCCUUUAAUGUUUGAUGUUCUAACGUUGGCCCCUGACCGGGGUUGCGGACAGUGUCUGGUGGGUAGUUUGACUGGGGCGGUCUCCUCCCAAAGCGUAACGGAGGAGCACGAAGGUUAGCUAAUCCUGGUCGGACAUCAGGAGGUUAGUGCAAUGGCAUAAGCUAGCUUGACUGCGAGCGUGACGGCGCGAGCAGGUGCGAAAGCAGGUCAUAGUGAUCCGGUGGUUCUGAAUGGAAGGGCCAUCGCUCAACGGAUAAAAGGUACUCCGGGGAUAACAGGCUGAUACCGCCCAAGAGUUCAUAUCGACGGCGGUGUUUGGCACCUCGAUGUCGGCUCAUCACAUCCUGGGGCUGAAGUAGGUCCCAAGGGUAUGGCUGUUCGCCAUUUAAAGUGGUACGCGAGCUGGGUUUAGAACGUCGUGAGACAGUUCGGUCCCUAUCUGCCGUGGGCGCUGGAGAAUUGAGGGGGGCUGCUCCUAGUACGAGAGGACCGGAGUGGACGCAUCACUGGUGUUCGGGUUGUCAUGCCAAUGGCACUGCCCGGUAGCUAAAUGCGGAAGAGAUAAGUGCUGAAAGCAUCUAAGCACGAAACUUGCCCCGAGAUGAGUUCUCCCUGAGACUUUAAGUCUCCUGAAGGAACGUUGAAGACGACGACGUUGAUAGGCCGGGUGUGUAAGCGCAGCGAUGCGUUGAGCUAACCGGUACUAAUGAACCGUGAGGCUUAACCUU
rnacentral:rRNA from 1 species